GGUAAAAUGGCUGAAUUAGGCGAUAAAUUGUAAAUUUAUUAAUGAAAUUUUCUUUUACUA
rnacentral:tRNA from 1 species